rnacentral:rRNA from 1 species
GACGAACGCUGGCGGCGUGCUUAACACAUGCAAGUCGAACGGAAAGGCCCUGCUUUUGUGGGGUGCUCGAGUGGCGAACGGGUGCGUAACACGUGAGUAACCUGCCCUUGACUUUGGGAUAACUUCAGGAAACUGGGGCUAAUACCGGAUAGGAGCUCCUGCUGCAUGGUGGGGGUUGGAAAGUUUCGGCGGUUGGGGAUGGACUCGCGGCUUAUCAGCUUGUUUGUGGGGUAGUGGCUUACCAAGGCUUUGGCGGGUAGCCGGCCUGAGAGGGUGGCCGGCCACAUGGGGACUGCGAUACGGCCCAGACGCCUACGGGAGGCAGCAGGGGGAAAUAUUGCACAAUGGGCCCAAGUCUGAUGCAGCAACGCCGCGUGCGGGAUGACGGCCUUCGGGUUGUAAACCGCCGUCGCCUGUGACGAAGCGUGAGUGACGGUAAUGGGUAAAGAAGCACCGGCUAACUACGUG